GCUCUUAUCGUCUAAUGGUCAGGACAGUGCUUUUUCAGGGCAUCGACGUGAGUUCAAAUCUCACUAAGAGUA
rnacentral:tRNA from 1 species